UACGUAGGGUGCGAGCGUUAAUCGGAAUUACUGGGCGUAAAGCGUGCGCAGGCGGUUUUGUAAGCCAGAUGUGAAAUUCCCGGGCUUAACCUGGGAAUGGCAUUUGGGACUGCAAGGCUUGAGUGCGGCAGAGGAGACUGGAAUUCCUGGUGUAGCAGUGAAAUGCGUAGAUAUCAGGAGGAACACCGAUGGCGAAGGCAGGUCUCUGGGCUGACACUGACGCUCAUGCACGAAAGCGUGGGGAGCAAACAGG
rnacentral:rRNA from 1 species